rnacentral:rRNA from 1 species
GAUGAACGCUGGCGGCGUGCCUAACACAUGCAAGUCGAGCGAACACACGAGGAGCUUGCGCCCUUGACGUUAGCGGCUGACGGGUGAGUAACACGUGGAUAACCUACCUAUAAGACUGGGAUGACCUCGUGAGACCGGUUACAAUACUAGCUAAUAUGUUGAACUGCUUAGUUCAAUAGUUAAAGACGGUUUUGCUGUCUCUUAUAGACGGAUCCGCGUCGCAUUAGUUAGUUGGUAAGGUAACGUCUAACCAAGGCGACGAUGCGUAGCUGACCUGAGAGGGUGAUCGGCCACACUGGAACUGAGACACGGUCCAGACUCCUACGGGAGGCAGCAGUGGGGAAUCUUGGGCAAUGGGCGAAAGCCUGACCGAGCAAAGCCGCGUGAGUGAAGAAGGUCUUCGGAUCGUAAAGCUCUGUUGUUAGGGAAGAACAAAUGUGUAAGUAACUAGGCCCGUCUUGACGGUACCUAAUCAGAAAGCCACGGCUAACUACGUG